GACGAAGGGGGCUAGCGUUGUUCGGAAUUACUGGGCGUAAAGCGCACGUAGGCGGCUUUGUAAGUUAGAGGUGAAAGCCCAGGGCUUAACCCUGGAAUUGCCUUUAAGACUGCAUCGCUAGAAUCGUGGAGAGGUGAGUGGAAUUCCGAGUGUAGAGGUGAAAUUCGUAGAUAUUCGGAAGAACACCAGUGGCGAAGGCGACUCACUGGACACGUAUUGACGCUGAGGUGCGAAAGCGUGGGGAGCAAACAGG
rnacentral:rRNA from 1 species